rnacentral:rRNA from 1 species
GACGAACGCUGGCGGCGUGCUCAACACAUGCAAGUUGAACGGAAAGGCCCUGCUUUUGUGGGGUGCUCGAGUGGCGAACGGGUGAGUAACACGUGAGUAACCUGCCCUUGACCUGGGGAUAAAUCCAGGAAGCUGGGGCUAAUACCGGAUAGGAGCUCCUGCGGCAUGGUGGGGGGUGGAAAGUUUCGGCGGUUGGGGAUGGACUCGCGGCUUAUCAGCUUGUUGGUGGGGUAGUGGCUUACCAAGGCUUUGACGGGUAGCCGGCCUGAGAGGGUGACCGGCCACAUUGGGACUGAGAUACGGCCCAGACUCCUACGGGAGGCAGCAGUGGGGAAUAUUGCACAAUGGGCGGAAGCCUGAUGCAGCAACGCCGCGUGCGGGAUGACGGCCUUCGUGUUGUAAACCGCUUUCGCCUGUGACGAAGCGUGAGUGACGGUAAUGGGUAAGGAAGCACCGGCUAACUACGUG